GACGAACGCUGGCGGCGUGCUUAACACAUGCAAGUCGAACGGUGAUGCUCCAGCUUGCUGGCGUGGAUCAGUGGCGAACGGGUGAGUAACACGUGAGCAACCUGCCCCAGACUCUGGAAUAAGCGCUGGAAACGGCGUCUAAUACUGGAUACGAAACUGGCCCGCAUGGGCAUGGUUUGGAAAGUUUUUCGGUUUGGGAUGGGCUCGCGGCCUAUCAGCUUGUUGGUGAGGUAAUGGCUCACCAAGGCGACGACGGGUAGCCGGCCUGUGAGGGCGACCGGCCACACUGGGACUGAGACACGGCCCAGACUCCUACGGGAGGCAGCAGUGGGGAAUAUUGCACAAUGGGCGAAAGCCUGAUGCAGCGACGCCGCGUGAGGGAUGACGGCCUUCGGGUUGUAAACCUCUUUCAGCAGGGAAGAAGCGAAAGUGACGGUACCUGCAGAAGAAGCACCGGCUAACUACGUG
rnacentral:rRNA from 1 species